CAGUCGCCGCGGGAAUACGUAGGUGGCAAGCGUUGUCCGGAAUUAUUGGGCGUAAAGGGCUCGCAGGCGGUUUCUUAAGUCUGAUGUGGAAGCCCCCGGCUCAACCGGGGAGAGUCAUUGGAAACUGGGAAACUUGAGUGCAGAAGAGGAGAGUGGAAUUCCACGUGUAGCGGUGAAAUGCGUAGAGAUGUGGAGGAACACCAGUGGCGAAGGCGACUCUCUGGUCUGUAACUGACGCUGAGGAGCGAAAGCGUGGGGAGCGAACAGGAUUAGAUACCCCCGUAGUCCCUGUCUCUUAUAC
rnacentral:rRNA from 1 species